GUACAUAUGAAGAGUCUCAAACUAGGACGAAACAGCUGUCCAGUAC
rfam:Trichobilharzia regenti genome assembly, scaffold: TRE_scaffold0027585